UACGGAGGGUGCGAGCGUUGUCCGGAAUCAUUGGGCGUAAAGGGCGCGUAGGUGGCCCGGUCAGUUCGUGGUGAAAGCGCGGGGCUCAACCCUGCGUCGGCCACUGAAUACUGCCGCGGCUGGAGCACUGUAGAGGCAGGCGGAAUUCCGGGUGUAGCGGUGAAUGCGUAGAGAUCCGGAAGAACACCGGUGGCGAAGGCGGCCUGCUGGGCAGUUGCUGGACAC
rnacentral:rRNA from 1 species